rnacentral:rRNA from 1 species
UCCCUAGUAACGGCGAGCGAACGGGGAAGAGCCCAUCGCCCAAUCCGACGCCUCCUAGGCGUACCGGAAAUUUGGCGUAUGGGAGAGACGCUUCCGGGUGCCUCCUCCGGUGCAAGUCCCCCUGACUGGGGCUCCUACCCCGAGAGGGUGCAAGGCCCGUAGCGGCCGGAAGGUGGUCCCGGAUGUCCUCUCCUGGGAGUCGGGUUGCUUGAGAGUGCAGCCCUAAUCAGGUGGUAAACUCCAUCUAAGGCUAAAUACGACCUCGAGACCGAUAGCGAACAAGUACCGUGAGGGAAAGUUGAAAAGGACUUUGAAGAGAGAGUUCAAGAGUACGUGAAACCGUUCGGAGGUAAACGAGUGGGCCCUCGAAGGAAGAUGGCGGGGGGACUCAGGCGAGAGAGAUUGCCUGCCUGCGCUGCCUCGCUUCCCAAACAGGACUUGGCGCGUGGGUUAGUGCUUUAGCUUUCGCCGCAUUUCCUCUCGCCCUCCGACGCUGCGACCGGUCGGGUGCGCCACGAGCAGUCGGCCUUACUCGCGGGGACUGGNAAGGUAGCCGGGGCAGAGCUUCGGCUCUGUUCCGGUGUUUAGCCACCCCGCAAUCACGGCCGUUCACCCGACCGAAGGACAUGGCCCUUAGGGGCUUAGCCGCACCCUACCCUCGCGGUAGCGUUUUCCCGCCGGAAGGGAUGUCGCCGCUUUCGGCGGUUCACCGUAANGUGUCCGCUGUGCGGUGNCGCCUGCUGGCUGNCGGGNUUACGUGCGGGUGCAGGCGGUCUGCNUGACCCGUCUUGAAACACGGACCAAGGAGUUUAACAUGUACGCGAGUCAUUGGGUCUUGCACAGGCCCAAAGGCGCAAUGAAAGUGAAGGUCGGCUUUCGCCGUCCGCGUUGGGAUCCGGAGCUUCCGCUUCGGCGCACCAACGGCUCGUCCAUGUCGCAACGUCGACCGGGCGAAGCUAGAGCGUACACGUUGAGACCCGAAAGAUGGUGAACUAUGGCUGGGCAGGACGAAGCCAGAGGAAACUCUGGUGGAGGUCCGCAGCGGUUCUGACGUGCAAAUCGAUCGUCAGACCUGGCUAUAGGGGCGAAAGACUAAUCGAACCAUCUAGUAGCUGGUUCCUUCCGAAUGUAAACGACGGCCAGUACCUAUUUUUCAACUUUAAAUGGUGAGAAGUCCGGUUGCUUGAUUGAAGCCUGGACUUCUCGGAUGCGAGUGCCAGUGGCCACUUUGGUAAGCAGACUGGCGCUGUGGGAUGAACCAAACGACGGGUUAAGGGGCCCGAUGCAGGACGCUCAUGAGACCCCAUGAAAGGUGUUGGUUGCUAUAGACAGCAGGACGGUGGCCAUGGAAGUCGGAAUCCGCUAAGGAGUGUGUAACAACUCACCUGCCGAAGCAACUAGCCCUGAAAAUGGAUGGCGCUUCAGCGUCGACCCCAUACCCGUCCGCCGCGGCCGAGAUGCGAUCGCAUUAUGCCGCGGUGAGUAGGAGGGCGCGGGGGCGCGCGUGGAAGGUGCCGGGCGUAAGCCCGCCUGAAGCCGCCCCCGGUGCAGAUCUUGGUGGUAGUAGCAAAUACUCAAGUGAGAACCUUGAGGACUGAGGUGGAGAAGGGUUCCAUGUGAACAGCAGUUGAACAUGGGUCAGUCGGUCCUAAGGGAUGUCCGAAAGGAUUUCCGAAGGGGGACUUUAGUAACUUUGGUCCCGCCCAUGACCGAAAGGGAAUCGGGUUAAUAUUCCCGAACCCGGACACGGAGAUCGGCUCCCUCGGGAGCACGUGCGGUAACGCAAACGACCUCGGAGACGUCGACGGGGGUCCCGGGAAGAGUUGUCUUUUCUUUGUAAGGGUUCGGCUCCCUGGAAUCGGCUCGCCCGGAGAUAGGGAUGCUGAACCCGUAAAGCACCGCGCCUCUUGCGGUGUCCGGAGCGCUCCCGUCGGCCCUUGAAAAUCCGAGCGAGAGUUGGUGAUUUUCGUGCCGGACCGUACCCAUAUCCGCAGCA